GUGAGGAAUAUUGGUCAAUGGGCGGGAGCCUGAACCAGCCAAGUCGCGUGAAGGAAGAAGGAUCUAUGGUUCGUAAACUUCUUUUGCAGGGGAAUAAAGUGCAGGACGUGUCCUGUUUUGUAUGUACCCUGAGAAUAAGGAUCGGCUAACUCCGUGCCAGCAGCCGCGGUAAUACGGAGGAUCCGAGCGUUAUCCGGAUUUAUUGGGUUUAAAGGGUGCGUAGGUGGUUUGAUAAGUCAGCGGUGAAAGUUUGCAGCUUAACUGUAAAAUUGCCGUUGAAACUGUCGGUCUUGAGUGCAAAUGAGGUAGGCGGAAUGUGUUGUGUAGCGGUGAAAUGCAUAGAUAUCACGCAGAACUCCGAUUGCGAAGGCAGCUUACUAAGCUACAACUGACACUGAAGCACGAAAGCGUGGGGAUCAAACAGGAUUAGAAACCCGAGUAGUCC
rnacentral:rRNA from 1 species